AGCAGCCGCGGUAAUUCCAGCUCCAAUAGCGUAUAUUAAAGUUGUUGCAGUUAAAAAGCUCGUAGUUGAACUUCAGGCCUGUCCAGAUGGUCCGCCUUAAUUGGUGUGUACUGUCCUUGGGUGGGUCCUACCUUCUGGCGAAGCGGCAUGGCCUUAGUUGGUUGUGUUGGGGAACCAGGACUUUUACUGUGAAAAAAUUAGAGUGUUCAAAGCAGGCAAAUAUGCUCGAAUACAUUAGCAUGGAAUAAUGGAAUAGGACGAUGGUUCUAUUUUGUUGGUUCUAGGACCGUUGUAAUGAUUAAUAGGGAUAGUUGGGGGCAUUAGUAUUCAAUUGUCAGAGGUGAAAUUCUUGGAUUUAUUGAAGACUAACUACUGCGAAAGCAUUUGCCAAGGAUGUUUUCAUUAAUCAAGAACGAAAGUUAGGGGAUCGAAGACGAUCAGAUACCGUCGUAGUCUUAACCAUAAACUAUGCCGACUAGGAAUCGGGCGAUGUUGACAAAAUGACUCGCUCGGCACCUCAUG
rnacentral:rRNA from 1 species